rnacentral:rRNA from 1 species
CGUGCCAGCAGCCGCGGUAAUACGUAGGGUGCGAGCGUUAAUCGGAAUUACUGGGCGUAAAGCGUGCGCAGGCGGUUAUGUAAGACAGAUGUGAAAUCCCCGGGCUCAACCUGGGAACUGCAUUUGUGACUGCAUGGCUAGAGUACGGUAGAGGGGGAUGGAAUUCCGCGUGUAGCAGUGAAAUGCGUAGAUAUGCGGAGGAACACCGAUGGCGAAGGCAAUCCCCUGGACCUGUACUGACGCUCAUGCACGAAAGCGUGGGGAGCAAACAGGAUUAGAUACCCUGGUAGUCCACGCCCUAAACGAUGU